UACGGGGGGGGUAAGCGUUGUUCGGAUUUACUGGGCGUAAAGCGCACGUAGGCGGAUUGUUAAGUCGGGGGUGAAAUCCUGGAGCUCAACUCCAGAACUGCCUUCGAUACUGGCGAUCUCGAGUUCGGGAGAGGUGAGUGGAACUGCGAGUGUAGAGGUGAAAUUCGUAGAUAUUCGCAAGAACACCAGUGGCGAAGGCGGCUCACUGGCCCGAGUACUGACGCUGAGGUGCGAAAGCG
rnacentral:rRNA from 1 species